UACGUAGGUGGCAAGCGUUGUCCGGAAUUAUUGGGCGUAAAGCGCGCGCAGGUGGUUUCUUAAGUCUGAUGUGAAAGCCCACGGCUCAACCGUGGAGGGUCAUUGGAAACUGGGGAACUUGAGUGCAGGAGAGAAGAGUGGAAUUCCACGUGUAGCGGUGAAAUGCGUAGAGAUGUGGAGGAACACUAGUGGCGAAGGCGACUCUUUGGCCUGUAACUGACACUGAGGCGCGAAAGCGUGGGGAGCAAACAGG
rnacentral:rRNA from 1 species